rnacentral:rRNA from 1 species
UACGAAGGGAGCUAGCGUUGUUCGGAAUCACUGGGCGUAAAGUGUGCGCAGGCGGCCGCGCAAGUCGAGUGUGAAAGCCCCGGGCUUAACUUGGGAAUUGCGCUCGAAACUACGUGGCUAGAGUGUGGCAGAGGGAGGUGGAAUUCCACGUGUAGCGGUGAAAUGCGUAGAGAUGUGGAGGAACACCGAUGGCGAAGGCAGCCUCCUGGGCCAACACUGACGCUCAUGCACGAAAGCGUGGGGAGCAAACAGG